rnacentral:rRNA from 1 species
CCUACGGGAGGCAGCAGUGAGGAAUAUUGGUCAAUGGGCGGGAGCCUGAACCAGCCAAGCCGCGUGAAGGAAGAAGGCGCCAGGCGUCGUAAACUUCUUUUGUCGGGGAACAAAGGGCGCCACGCGUGGCGUUGUGAGUGUACCCGAAGAAAAAGCAUCGGCUAACUCCGUGCCAGCAGCCGCGGUAAUACGGGGGAUGCGAGGGUUAUCCGGAUUGAUGGGGUUUAAGGGGUGCGUAGGCGGUCCGGAAAGUCAGCGGGAAAAGCCCGGGGCUGAGCCCCGGCGAGCCGAUGAAACUGUCGGACUAGAGACGGCGAGAAGUACGCGGAAUGCGCGGUGUAGCGGUGAAAUGCAUAGAUAUCGCGCAGAACUCCGAUGGCGAAGGCAGCGUACCGGCGCCGGACUGACGCUGAGGCACGAAAGCGUGGGUAGCGAACAGGAUUAGAUACCCUAGUAGUC